rnacentral:rRNA from 1 species
UACGUAGGGCGCAAGCGUUGUCCGGAAUUAUUGGGCGUAAAGAGCUCGUAGGCGGCCUGUUGCGUCCGCUGUGAAAUCCUGGGGCUCAACCCCGGGCCUGCAGUGGAUACGGGCUGGCUAGAGGCAGGCAGGGGAGAACGGAAUUCCUGGUGUAGCGGUGAAAUGCGCAGAUAUCAGGAGGAACACCGGUGGCGAAGGCGGUUCUCUGGGCCUGUACUGACGCUGAGGAGCGAAAGCGUGGGGAGCGAACAGG